GUGCUCGCUUCAGCAGUACACAGACUGAAAAUUGGAAUGAUACAGAGAAGAUCAGCGUGGCCCCUGCAUAAAGAGGACAUGCAAAUUCGUGAAGUGGUCCAUAUUUUU
ensembl:snRNA U6 U6 spliceosomal RNA